UACGGAGGAUUCAAGCGUUAUCCGGAAUCAUUGGGUUUAAAGGGUCCGUAGGCGGUUUGGUAAGUCAGUGGUGAAAGCCCAUCGCUCAACGGUGGAACGGCCAUUGAUACUGCCAGACUUGAAUUAUUAGGAAGUAACUAGAAUAUGUAGUGUAGCGGUGAAAUGCUUAGAGAUUACAUGGAAUACCAAUUGCGAAGGCAGGUUACUACUAAUGGAUUGACGCUGAUGGACGAAAGCGUGGGUAGCGAACAGG
rnacentral:rRNA from 1 species